rnacentral:rRNA from 1 species
GACGAACGCUGGCGGCGUGCUUAACACAUGCAAGUCGAACGGAGAGGCCCUGCUUUUGUGGGGUGCUCGAGUGGCGAACGGGUGAGUAACACGUGAGUAACCUGCCCUUGACUUUGGGAUAACUUCAGGAAACUGGGGCUAAUACCGGAUAGGAGCUCCUGCUGCAUGGUGGGGGUUGGAAAGUUUCGGCGGUUGGGGAUGGACUCGCGGCUUAUCAGCUUGUUGGUGGGGUAGUGGCUUACCAAGGCUUUGACGGGUAGCCGGCCUGAGAGGGUGACCGGCCACAUUGGGACUGAGAUACGGCCCAGACUCCUACGGGAGGCAGCAGUGGGGAAUAUUGCACAAUGGGCGGAAGCCUGAUGCAGCAGCGCCGCGUGCGGGAUGACGGCCUUCGGGUUGUAAACCGCUUUCGCCUGUGACGAAGCGUGAGUGACGGUAAUGGGUAAAGAAGCACCGGCUAACUACGUG